rnacentral:lncRNA from 1 species
CUCUUGAAACCCGCUCGACAUUUCCAUAAGUUGACAUCAUCGACAGUGGGCUGUCUUUUCUCUUUUGCUUUCUCUAAUUCUGUUUCAAUUCGGUUUAACAGGUCUUGCCGGUGAUGCCUUCGUCGAUGGUUGCUUAGGACAGUUUCAACACUUGCAUUUUUAGCAAUGCUGAGGUCUAUACAGCCCCUAUCCCCGAGCAUAUCCACCAUCGUCCCCAUAGGAGUCCAUCUGUCAUA